UACGUAGGGUGCAAGCGUUAAUCGGAAUUACUGGGCGUAAAGCGUGCGCAGGCGGUUUUGUAAGUCUGUCGUGAAAGCCCCGGGCUCAACCUGGGAAUUGCGAUGGAGACUGCAAGGCUUGAAUCUGGCAGAGGGGGGUAGAAUUCCACGUGUAGCAGUGAAAUGCGUAGAGAUGUGGAGGAACACCGAUGGCGAAGGCAGCCCCUGGGUCAAGAUUGACGCUCAUGCACGAAAGCGUGGGAGCAAACAGG
rnacentral:rRNA from 1 species